rnacentral:lncRNA from 1 species
AGAACCAGAAAUAUUAUGGACUAAUUCAAACUAUGUUUAACAUCAGAUCAUUUUAUAAUCCUCUAGGAUAGUUCAUUGGGGUAGUUAUGUAAUUGUACAAACCAUAUCCAACCCAAGAAAUGUUGAAGUGUCUAUAAACCUAAAGUCUGAAAUUAGUUGGAAGAGAAGACUCAAAGACUCCAAUAAAACAGACACACGCCCCAUAAGAGUGGGCCAGGGUGAGAAAUAAGGCCAAGUGUUAAGAAACAUAUGGUCAUAUUGAACCAACACACUUCACCCCUGUCUCUCUCUCUCUUUCAAAUGACGUAAAAGCAAAGCACAGACUUUGCUUCCCCCUAAGAAUUACCAAUCCAAGAAACGCUAAUGAUUCCUCCCAUCCAUCCAUUAAACAAUUCAUCUCCCUAAACCCCAUAUCUCCUUGAUUCUAGUCUUGCGUGUACAUAUACUAUUACAUGGUAAGGAGAAGGGGAGAAGAAGAAGAAGAGAGCAAACCUGGGAAAGUCAGGGGAGAAUCUGCUGGAGGGUUGGUUGGAUUGCAUCCAUGACAUCUCUGCAGCUCUGGCUUUCUCUAGGAUGACUGAUUCAGCUUACAGAGUAGACACCAUCUCCAGGCUCGCCCAAUGGCGUAUCCUCAACCUCUCUUCCUCCACUUACCGCAAGUCCGAUCCUUUCAAGAUGGGUCUUUGGAACUGGUACCUCUCUCUUCUCUCUCUCCUUCCCUUUUUGUUCACCUGACCAAUUAAUGAUCCGACAUGAUGAUGAUGAUGAAUGAAAAAAAAGUGGACACACCUUUUUUAGUAGUUGAUGUGUUUGGUAAUAAGAAUGGUUUUGACACUAUAUAUGGUGGGUUAUUGAUAUGAAGGCAUUUGUCUGUGGAGAAAAGCAAGAUGCUAUUAAAUGUUAAGUUGUAUCCAGAAGUAUCCAGCCUUUCCAGGGAAAACCCACCUGUUGCUUCCUUUGUUCUUCGUGUUGUCUCUUCUACUGGUGAGAGGAAGGCUUUUACUCAUCCAGGUAAAGACAAGAUCUUGCUUUGUUCCUGUUCCACAACAAAAGAUGAAUUUAAAAACAUUGUUUCUUUAAUGCUGCAGAAGUAAUAGAUAAGAGGAUUAAGACAAACGAAGAUUUCCUCUGGACAAUUGAAGUUCCCUUGACUGGAAAAAUCAUCAUCGACGUCGAGCUUCUUGACCUCAAGGUUCUGUCUCAAGAUGUAAGUGUUAGAAAAUAGACAGAACCUUUGUUCUUUUUUAAUAUUUAGUUGAUAUUUACCUGGAUUGGCAGAGUGGAGAGUUUUACUCAAUCUGGGCAGACGGUUCAACGCAGAACCAAUCCGAAGUUACAGCGGUAACAUCCCUUGGACGUAUGUUGACAGAAAGCAUUUACACCGACAUAACCAUCAACGCCUCUGAUGGAAGCAUCGGAGCGCACCGAGCUGUUCUCGCUGCCCGUUCGCCUGUUUUCCGCAGCAUGUUUCUACACGACCUGAAAGAGAAAGAACUAUCAGCGAUAAACAUACCGGACAUGCCGCUCGAAGCUUGCCGAGCGUUCCUAAGUUAUAUCUACGGGAAUAUCCAGAACGAAGACUUUCUAACGCAUAGACUGGCGCUUCUACAAGCGGCUGAUAAAUAUGAUAUCGCUGAUCUGAAAGACGCGUGCCAC